GGCUCUGUGGCGCAAUGGAUAGCGCAUUGGACUUCUAGGCUGUGAGCUGAGCCAUUUAAAGGUUGUGGGUUCGAGUCCCACCAGAGUCG
rnacentral:tRNA from 1 species